rnacentral:rRNA from 1 species
AGAGUUUGAUCCUGGCUCAGGACAAACGCUGGCGGCGUGCGUUAAACAUGCAAGUCGAGCGGGGGUUUCGGCCCCAGCGGCGGACGGCUGAGUAGCACGUGCCUGACCUGCCCGUUCGUGGGGAAUAGCGGUCGGAAACGGCCGGUAAUACCGCAUGCGGUCCCCGGCGUGGGAGCCGGGGAGGAAAGCCUUCGGGCGCGGACGGAGGGGGGCGCGGCCCAUCAGCUAGUUGGUGGAGUAACGGUCCACCAAGGCGGUGACGGGUGGCCGGUCUGAGAGGAUGGUCGGCCAGACUGGGACUGGGACACGGCCCAGACACCUACGGGUGGCAGCAGUUAGGGAUCUUGCGCAAUGGGCGAAAGCCUGACGCAGCGACGCCGCGUGCGGGAGGACGGCCCUCGGGUCGUAAACCGCUUUUCGUCGGGACGAGGAUGGACGGUACCGACGGAAGAAGCAUCGGCUAACUCCGUGCCAGCAGCCGCGGUAAUUC